CCUCAACAUCACCAGUGUGGACAUAUAAUGCUGAAGUUCUGGCAACAUGUAAGAAGAGGAAAUGUCUCUUCCACUGCUGCAUUAAGAAGAUGCGUGCUUCCUGUAUUCUGCUGCUGCCCUUCCCCCGAACAGCCACUUGGUCACUCACAGAUGGAAAGGAGUCUGGGAGCUCUAGUUUCUGUAUCCCCAGUAACUCUACUUCACACUAAGGGAGUCAGAGCACAGAUCUUUGGUGGAGCAGCCAGCUGUUGGACACACUCAUCUGCCAAAGAAUCUUAUUCUCUCAUGGAUACCAAAGAAAUAAGAGAACCAAUCAUUUCUGUUGGAAGAACAGAACACCUUGCAUAUUACCUCCUCAAGUAGCUUAUUUCUUGACAAAGUAUGUGGAAAUAGAAGCCCAGUUGUAAUUCAUUUUUUUUGAAAUAUACUUAGUUGGGGCACCACAUGAUGCUUUGCUGUAUGUAUCAUUGCAUAAUGUCUCAAUAAGGUUAAACAAAUCUAACUCCUCAAAUAUCUGUCAUUUUUUUGUAGCAAAAACAUUCAAUGUCCUUUCUUCUAGCAUUUAGAGAUAUGAAAUAUAUAAUGAUUAUUUAGUUACCCCAUUGUGCAAUAAAUGCCACACAAGAACCCAUAAUUUUAAGGUAUUUAUGAUCAGUUAAAAAUUUUUAAAAAUGUAUAAUAAAAUAUGUAGCAG
rnacentral:lncRNA from 1 species